rnacentral:rRNA from 1 species
GGUAUUUUGACCGUGCAAAGGUAGCAUAAUCAUUAGUUUUUUAAUUGAAAGCUGGAAUGAAAGGUUGGAUGAGAAAUAAGCUGUCUCUAUUUAAUUUUAUUAGAAUUUUAUUUUUAAGUAAAAAAGCUUAAAUUUUAAUAGAAGACGAGAAGACCCUAUAGAGUUUUAUUUAUUUUUUAAAUAAAAUUAAUAGUAUUAAUUAUUUUUAUUUAAUAGAUAAAUUUAGUUGGGGUGAUUGAAAAAUUUAAUAAACUUUUUUUGUAUGUGUACAUUGAUAUAUGAUUAAUUGAUCCUUAAUUUAAGAUUAGAAGAUAAAAUUACCUUAGGGAUAACAGCGUAAUUUUUUUUGAGAGUUCUAAUCGAAAGAAAAGAUUGCGACCUCGAUGUUGGAUUAAAAUAAAAUUUUGGUGUAGAAGCUAAAA